AAAAUUACAGUUGUCCAAUCUUAAUCUCAAACAAAGACCUAAAUUAGAUAGAGGCGAUGAGUUGCAAAACUAUGUAAAGUUAAGUGGAGCUUCUCGAUGGUUCCUCCAAUCGCGGUCAUGAUAGCAAACGUUGAACUUGGAAAAACAUAAGCUGCCAAACUCAAUAAGCAUUUGCUAAAGAUAGUACAUCAGGUGGUUUUAAAACAAGUAUUUUUCUUUUUCUUUUUUCUUUUUUCUUUUUGUCAAUCUUCUUACCCAUGAAACAAAUCAAUGUCUUACUUUUGGUCUUUUGGAUAGAUGAGUCACCAAAAAAAAAAAAAAAACAAAGCACUCGUUGAUUUUUCAGAUUUUAGAGAGAUAGAAACGAUCGAAGAGUUUGUAGAGAAAAUAAAAAUAUCCUGGGUGUGUUGAGUUUGAAGAGGGAGAAGCAGGUGGGCGAGUUUGUUCUUCAAUAGCGGGGUGUUAAUAGCUGUAAUGUAAAGCAAAUAGAUUGUCCCUUAAGCCCAUUCAAACUGGGCCUAUAUCUAAGGAAUAAGUAGACUUUAAUUCUCAAGCUGAUUUGGGGGAAACUGGGCCAGGCUGGCUUCGUUUUGUUUUUUGUUUUCUCUCGCGAAUAAAAUUUACCAAUUUAAAGUAAGGUUAUGACUAUUUUAAAAUUGCUCUAAAGUAGAGUAAGAAUCACAAUCACAUAUAUAAAGUGAUAAAUAAUAAAAAACUCAUUAUAAUUUUGAUCGUGUAGUUAUAAAAGGUUGAUCUACCUUAAACGGUUCCACAUAAUCGGACCCAAUUAGUUAUAAGCGUAAAAUUUCACUAAUGCGGUGUGCGUUUUCACGUGUCAAAAUUAUGAUUAUUGAUUUAUUGCUAAAUAUGUAGUGCAUUAUGAGCGCAAAAUAUCUAAAUCGUACCAUUUUUAUAAAUCUAAUCUAAUCUUCUGAGGAAUUAACAAAUUUCUAAUUGAGAAUAUAAUAGAUUAUAUUGUAAUUCAAAAUAAGAAUGUACAAAUGUGAAACAAUAAGUUAAACAGACGAGUGCAGUCUUCACAUAAAUUUUUCUCCGCGCACACAUUGCCAACCUGGAAAAUCUACUCAACUAAUACUUCCUUCUCUUUACUGUUGCAUUGAUUUUAGAAAGUUAAUUUUAGGGGUCUUGCUUCAAUGCCCCAGCUUCACCAUGGUAACAAGUUUUUCAUUGUCCUUAACAAAUUAUUCAUGCAUAAUCACUGAUUCACUAUAUUAUCUUUAUACGUAACAUGUUUUUGUAAUAGAUAUAGUAAAUUUUAUAUACAACGAAAAAGCUAUUAUCAAUUUAAAAAAAAAAAAUUGCAGACGUUUGUAGUACGCAACAUGCUGCACCAUAAUCGGACCCUAAAUUAUUAA
rnacentral:lncRNA from 1 species